AUCUGUGGUCAUGCCACCCUGAAUGUGACAAUCUUGUCUGAUCUUGGAAGCUAAGCAGGGUUAAGCCUGGUCAGUACUUGGAUGGGAGACCCCCUGGGGAUAUUGGGUGCCGUAGGCC
ensembl:rRNA 5S_rRNA 5S ribosomal RNA